rnacentral:rRNA from 1 species
GGGGGCUUUGAGGGGAAAAGAGGGGGACCAGUAAUGGCCUCUCGCUUUUAGAUGAGCCUGCGUCAGAUUAGCUAGUUGGUAAGGUAACGGCUUACCAAGGCUACGAUCUGUAGCUGGUCUGAGAGGACGGCCAGCCACACUGGGACUGAGAUACGGCCCAGACUCCUACGGGAGGCAGCAGUGGGGAAUAUUGGACAAUGGGGGCAACCCUGAUCCAGCGAUGCCGCGUGUGUGAAGAAGGCCUGCGGGUUGUAAAGCACUUUAGUUGGGGAAGAAAAAGUUCAGGUUAAUACCCUGAUAAUUGACGUUACCCAAAGAAUAAGCACCGGCUAACUCUGUGCCAGCAGCCGCGGUAAUACAGAGGGUGCAAGCGUUAAUCGGAAUUACUGGGCGUAAAGGGCGCGUAGGUGGUUUGGUAAGUUGGGUGUGAAAUCCCUGGGCUUAACCUGGGAACUGCAUCCAAAACUGUCAAACUUGAGUAGAGUAGAGGAAAGUGGAAUUUCCGGUGUAGCGGUGAAAUGCGUAGAUAUCGGAAGGAACACCAGUGGCGAAGGCGGCUUUCUGGACUCAUACUGACACUGAGGCGCGAAAGCGUGGGGAGCAAACAGGAUUAGAUACCCUGGUAGUCCACGCCGUAAACGAUGAGAACUGGAGGUUGGAAUGCAAUUAGCGUUUUAGUCUCGUAGCUAACGCGAUAAGUUCUCCGCCUGGGAAGUACGGCCGCAAGGUUAAAACUUAAAGGAAUUGACGGGGGCUCGCACAAGCGGUGGAGCAUGUGGUUUAAUUCGAUGCAACGCGAAGAACCUUACCUACCCUUGACAUCCUUGGAAUCUCACAGAGAUGUGGGAGUGCCUUCGGGAGCCAAGAGACAGGUGCUGCAUGGCUGUCGUCAGCUCGUGUCGUGAGAUAUUGGGUUAAGUCCCGUAACGAGCGCAACCCUUAUCCUUAGUUGCCAGCGAUUCGGUCGGGAACUCUAAGGAGACUGCCGGUGAUAAAUCGGAGGAAGGCGGGGAUGACGUCAAGUCAUCAUGGUCUUUAUGGGUAGGGCCACACACGUGCUACAAUGGGCGGUACAGAGGGUUGCCAAACCGUGAGGUGGAGCUAAUCCCAAAAAACCGUUCGUAGUCCGGAUUGAAGUCUGCAACUCGACUUCAUGAAGCUGGAAUCGCUAGUAAUCGCGAAUCAGAAUGUCGCGGUGAAUACGUUCUCGGGCCUUGUACACACCGCCCGUCACACCAUGGGAGUUGGCUGUACCAGAAGCAGGUAGCCUAACCGAAAGGAGGGCGCCUACCACGGUGUGGUCAAUGACUGGGGUGAAGUCGUAACAAGGUA